UGUUCGUUCCUGUGGUUGUGUGAGCGAGUGUUGAGCGAGUGGGUGGGUGGGUGUUGAGUAAGAGUGUGCGUGCGGCCGCUUUGUGUGUCAGUGAGUGUCUGUCUGUCUGUGUGUGUGUGUGUGAGGGGCAGUUCUGUGUGUCGGUGAGUGUGUGUCUGUGUGUGGCCACCUGGUGUGUGUGUUUGUGUGAGCGGGCGCCAUGUGCAUGUGAGUGAGGGGCUCCCUUGUAUGCGUGUCUGUGUGUCUGUCCGUGAGGGGCUGCCAUUUGCGUGUGCAUGUGAGGGCUGCUGUGUACAUGUGUGUCUGUGUGUGUGGGCCCGCUGUGUGUGUCUGUGCGUGUGAGGGGCCGCCGUGUGUGCGUUCGCGUGUGCGGGGCGGCCGUGCCACGCGUGUGAACGGCUGCCGUGCGGUGUGUGUGGGAUCCAGGGUGAAGUGUUGGGCUAUGCUGGCAGGUUUUUUUCUCACUUUGGAAGGAAACGGGUCUCAAAAAGUGGAGGUUCCACCUUGGGGCGCAAGGCUGCUGCGUGGUGUCCCUGCAGGCCCCAGACUGGCUGGAAGUGGUGCAAAAUGCAGCGCGGUUAUGCAGUCACCGGUGUGUAUAUAAAUGGUUGCUCGGAGCCCUGCUUGACCUCUCAAGUACAGGCUCUGGACUCAAAAGCAGGAAUUAGCAGGCUUUGUCUUCUCCUUCACAGCAAACUGUGAAGAACUUCAGCAGGAGUUUGGCUUCAGGGAGAGGCAAUGUAUCGGAACACAUUGCAAAAGACACUUCGUGCAAGAAAACAUGGAGAAGAUGUCUUUGGCUGACGACAUAGCUCAAUUGCAAGGUGCAGUACCUCGCAAGGCUCGCAGAAGGAACCUGACACGGGUCUCCUGCAAUUUAUACCAGCUGCAAUGUAUGUAUUUAUACGGAAAAUCUGGAGAUGGACUCGGUCAGAUGUUGCUGCAGCCUCGCCAUCCUUCUGCCACAGCCCAGAUCGGAAUGUGAAGUGAGAACUCUCUGCUCCUGCGUUACCCUCUCUUCACUAGCUGCAAGGAGUUUUAUGGCCAUUGGUCCCAUGUGAAUCUGGCAUGAAGGCAUCCAUGGCCCGAGGCAAGUUGAGAAAGGUU